CAUUUUACGGUUUUCAAAAAUGUACUCUCAUAAAUUAUUUUAUUUUUUCUUCCGAAUAAAAAUUUAGUGUUUGAAUUUUUAUACGCAAAAAGAAAAUCUCAUAAAUCAUCGAAGAUUAAGUUUUCCUCUCUAUUUAUUUAUCUUUAUCUUGAAAAUUAUAAUAAGAUAAAGUUAUUAAAAAUUAUGAGGAUAAAUUUAAGAGUGAUCUUAGGCUGAACUAGGUGAUUGAAACUUUAAUAGUGAAAUAUGAUGCAUCGUAUCAUUCAAUUAGAUUUUAUUAUAUCAUGGAGAGCAUAAAUUAUUUGAAGUUAUUGAUUCCAUACUGAUGAUUUGAUGAGUUUAUAGAAUUCUAAUUACGAUUUUUCAUGAUUUUAAUAUUAUAUCACCUCAUUUUAUGUUAUUAUUACUAUAUACAAAAAUAUAAACAUACAUCAUAUCAUCAAAAAAUUAUAUACUAUCACUAUGUAUUAAUGAUGCUACAAAAAAUUAUCACAAUGCUAAUAAUCAUAUCCGAACUUAAGUUAGUGACUAAAAACAAAUCCAAACCUAAUAUCAGUAACUAAAAAGAAAAAAAAUUUAGUUGAGUGGCAAGUUUCUAAAAACAUAAUAAGUUCGGUGACAAAAAAAUCUAUUUUCCCUUCUCUAAUUAUACUCCCACGUCUCAAUUUAUCUCAUAUUUGACUUUCGAUGAUCAAAAUGAUCAAAUUUUGGUUGGGAAUUAAUAAUUAUCUAACAUGAUCUUGAAAAUCGACUUUUAUAGUUUAAAUAAUCAAAUUUUGGCCAGUAAUUAAUAAUUAUCUUAUAUGAUCUUAAAAAUCGAAAAAAUAUUUUUUUUUGCAAUGCAAGCCUUAUAAAUUAGUAUUUGUUCUAAUAAUUCUCGGGAUGUAGAUUUUAUUAACAUAUUUUUUCAUAAUUUUGUCUAGUUGUUUUACAUAUGUAAAUUUCAAUCAAAAUUUGGUCAAUUUGACCAUAAAAAAUCAAAAAAAACAAGUAAAUUGGUGUAACGACCGCGAAAAACUCAAGUACGUAUAGUUAUUAGUCGAUAAAUAAUGUCUUUAGUAAAUUGCGCGAAACUCUAUUCUUUAUUAAUUAUAGCCAAGUACAAGUAGCUAUUAUAUAAAUUAUUAAACUAUUAAUAUUAUUAUUAGAAGAGGAGAUAGAGCAGCUCGUAAAUACCUUAUUAACACGCGGUCACGACAAUAAGAAUUUCGCUUGAGAAUUAUUUUCUAUUAUUAUUUUUAUUACGAGGUAUUCACCAAGGAAUAGAGUGAGUGUCGAUUUUUCUAUAAAAAGACUAAGUCUAUAAAGUGUAAAAAGGAGUAGGACUAGCAAUUAAACAAAAGAGUAGUCCUUGAAAAUAAAUUAUAUAAACUUAUCCUUAUAAAAACCCAAUACAUUGGUUAUUAAAUCAUUUAUCAACAAGAUAGAGAGAGAAAGCUAGAAAGAAAGAGGAAAGUAGAAAGAAAGGUGAAGAAGGAAGGGAUGCAGAAAUCAGUUACAGAGGACAUCAAGGGGAAAUAUUGUUGAUUAAGAAUAUUUUACUAUCUGGAAAGACGAGCUCAAUCUGAGACAAGAAUAGUUUAUAUAAAUAUCAAAGGACGCCAGUAAAGACAGAAGAAUGCACGAUUGAGAGGAACAAUCCCGAAGCGCACAAUAGCACGAACAAGGACAAGGCGUGAGGCUGUGGCAAGACGAAGGCUAGGAAGACUUGUUCCCGUGACGAGGAUAAGUGUAUUAUCGACUUUGGACUUGUGGGGCAGGGUAUGCAUUGUAAAAUAGGUAUGCUGAAGGGGUGUGACGACUUGGAUCCGAGGGAUGCGGAUCUGGGGGCGUUACAGAUUUGGUAUCAGAGCUGUGUUAUAUUCUUAGGACACGGGAACCCUAGGAAUAUAACGAGAGAGUGAGAGACAAUAAUACAAGAGAUAAGAUAUAUGUAUAUGAUAGUUAUACAUCUACGAGAGCAGGCAACGUUAUACAUGAAACUCGGAAAUCUGUAGUGGGACAUGAAACCCCAUAGUUAUGAAUACAUAUAUGUAUAUACAUGUAUCUUUAAGAUGAAAAACUUAUGAUGACAUUGUUUAAUUAUGUGUGAAGAUGAGAAUAGCUAGAGGACGCUCUUCCACACCCUAUCUUUAUGAAUAAUAUGGGUUGUGGCACCUUAAAGGAAAUUAUGAUUGCUCGUAGCAAUUCAAAAGAUAUGAUUAUUCUAGUCAUUGAGCCUUCACCACCUGAGGUUAUAGGUUUGAUAACCUACUAGUUACCCAGUAUUUAUUACCAUGUCAGAGGGAUAGGCAUCAAAUUUACCUUAUAAAUUUUUGUCGAGACUAACCUCUACACUAUCAUUGAAUAUCCAAAUAUCUACCCUCGUCUUCUAUUCUUUCAUUACUUACAUCAGAGGAUAGAUAUGAUCAGUGAUUGUCGACGGAGAUACUUGGAUGCUUUUAGCUGACUUUCCAAAAGGCUACUUCAUUCACUUUUGAUUCCAUUGUAAUGCUAACUCCUUAUUUGUAUCAAUUCAAGUUCCAUGCGUUUAACAACACCACGUCUAUGGGCGAGAUUUUUCCCUAUAUUUGGCAACUUUCUGUUCAAUAUAUAUAUAAAUAUCAAGCCAUGAGCUCGAAUGUUACAACCAGAGAUUUCUACCCCGAAGACUUCUGUUCCCAUCUCAUGUUAUAUUAAGAUACCGAUCUUUCUAAUAUAAGGUUCCUUCUUACUUUGACACUCUUUUAUCAAUUUCUGUUCCAAUUUCCGCAUCAAUCUCAACACCAAAUUUUUAUUCCAACACCAAUCAGUUCUAGUUCUUCUUAUGCUCCAUACGUUGGGAGCGAGACAAUACCACUCUCGGAACACUUUACAUUGUAUGACGGUAUGAGAUGUUAUCGAACUAUUACUUUGAGUUUUCAGUUUUUCAUGACGUAUUGUUGAGGAUACGAGAAUUAUAUAUUUGUUCAUGAGAGCCCGGUUUCCUGGCUCGGGUAAUUAUGAUAAAGGAAUCUAUCAAAUAGUUAUUUAUGUAUUUAUGUAUUCGAGAGACUUUGGAUAUAUGUUCAACAGACUUUGUCAACCAGCUUCGGACACAUUGGAGCCAUUGUUAUGAAUUGAAAAUUGUAAGAAUUUUGGUAUAAAGUUACAGAGAUAUCAAAACAUCGACGGUUCAGAUUUCUUUGGGAUAAUUUGAUAUUUUGUAAAGAUAACAUUUAUAAUUUACGAGUAUUUGGAGUUCUAUUUCUGUUCAUAUAUGGUUCAUGACUUUUGACACUAUACGCUAAAGGGCAUGAGAGCCUUGCAUUUCCUUAUUAUUACAAUGCAGAUUCGUACAUAAGAUCUUUCGAGCAAAUAGGGAUGCAACAGACAUCUUAUUAAUCAUGAUUAAAUUAAUACCUCGAGAUUAUUUGGAUAAUUGUGUCUUCGAAUAAUGACAAAAUGGUACUCGAACUUUGUGUGCAUAUGAUGAAGACCAGUGGAAAUGGACAGUUUUUUUUGAUGAUUUACAAUAUGUGAUACGCGUGAUCUUUUGUACUUAUGAAACCGCUGUUCAAUCCUUGAUCGCGAUAUCUUGUAUCAACUUUUUAUUAAAAACUUUUCACAUACCUAUUUCUUUUCAAAACCGCUCUUACUUCUAAAACCACCUACCUUUUGCUAAUAAAUGUGAAACUUUGGGCAUGUUGAUAUACUUCCUUGAACCAUUAUUAAACCUUAACUGUCUUUACCAUCCAAUCUUUAUUUCAUAAACAAAACUCUUGUUAAACAUCUAUUAAACAAUUUUGCACCAUUACCAACAGUUGCUAUAUUUUGCACUCUUGCAUUUAAAUAAACCUCUACACCAUGUGACAACAAUCUAUUUUUGUUCCUCUUUUAUAGAAACAAGAUGAACUCUGAAAUUGGUAAUAAAAAAAAACCAAGAACAGUAAAUUCCACAAGAGAAUAUCCCAGCCAAUCCUGAUCUGAUAUAAAUGCUCUUUGAUCUCUUACAACAACAUGCUCCGAACCUACCAACCCAUACCAGCGGAGCAUCAAUCAACCAAUCACCCAAAUCAUUUGUCAUAUAUAUAAAAAAAAAAAAAAAACUUUUAAGUUUAUACACUCCCUGAGUCUAAAGAAACCACGGAUCCUAUUGAGGCUAGUACCUAGUUGAAAGAAAUUUAAAAAGGGAUCUUGAGAUUGUGGGAGUUGAGGAUGAUAAGUAAAAUUCUAUCUGCUACAUAUAUGUUAAACAGGGAAGCUAACUAUUCGUAGGACGCUAAAAAGGGUCUAGAAGGGACUAGUGUUAUGAUGUGAGAAUGCAUUACGAAAUUGUUCAUGUAGAAACAUUUUCCUAAAUACUAGGAGAAUCACGUAACUUAGACUCUUAGAAAUCAAACAAGGAACGUAUUUGUGGUUGGUUAUGAAGCCAAAUUUACAUAACCUGUGAGGUUUGUACAACACUAUGUUGAUAAUAAUGAAAAGAGAUCCUGACGUUUUCGACAAGAAUCGAAACCCUGGGUCUUGAGCAGGGUAGCUAUUUGAACUUAGCAAUUACGGGACUCUUGAGACUACUAUCGUAGAAAGCGGGAGUGAACUAUAUAGCCAUGGAAAGAAUGACUUGAAGAGGAGGGCACCACCUGAUCGUAGUCAAGGAAAGACAUGAGACAAGAAUAUAAAGAAACCUUUUGCUAAAAGGCUAUUCAACAAUGAUAGACCACUGCGAAUCAGAAAUCGAGAAAGACGCGAAGGGAAUCUGAGGUCCAGGCCUCUAUAAACUGCAAAUCUUUUCCAAAGAAGACCUCUUUUGCGUGAAUGCAAGAAUUAUAGAAAGAAGCAUCAAACUCCGUGUUAUCAGGAUUCCACCAUUUGUUUUAUCUACAGACAGAAAAGAUGGGCCACAUGGUCAACGAUGGUCGAGCGCGGCGCAAAGAAAACACCAUUAUGAGAUUAUCAACACCUCUAGAAAGGAGCAAGCCAACAUCGUGCACCUUUAAUGUGACAAUGAAAGACACUAUAGUCAAUGACGACACUAUUUCAUGUACGCUUAUAAUAAAUCCUUAAGAUGCUUGUGUGCUGAAUGCUUUCGGCGAUAUCAAAUAGUGUAUUUUUGUAAAUUUUUAUGCAAAAAUUUGGGAAUUGUUUUGAUACCUCUAGAAGAACCCACGAAUAUAAAAAUAGAGAAUCAGGAUGUAAAUUCUAUGGAUCAAGUGUGUCCUCAUUGUGAAGUAACGAUUCAGAAAUAAAUUUUCAAAGUAGAUUAAUUUAUUUUAAGUUAGGGAAGUUUGACGUGAUAUUUGGAAUGGAAUGGUUAAUGAGUUACGACGCUAAGAUUAAUUAUAGACGAAAACGUAUAAGAGGUAAUAGUUGAAGGAGAGUGAUUGUAAGAAGACAAAAGCAAGAUAAGAAAAUAUUGAUCAUGAUACAAUUCAAGAAAUUGCUUCGGCAAUGAUGACAGGCCUAUUUGGCGCAUGUGAUAGAUACGGAGAAAUAGAGUCCUAUGAUGAAAGAAACCUCAGUGGUAAAUGAAUAUAUGAAUAUGUUUUUUAAGAUUCACCGGGAUUACCCCCAAAUAGGGAAAUUGAGUUCACUAUAGAUCUUGUGCCAGGUACCGCACCUAUGUCAAAAGCUCCCUAUAAAAUGACACGAACAUAAAUAAAAGAGUUAGUAAUACAAUUACAAGAAUUAUCAAGAAAAAAAAAAGAGUCAUUAGGCCAAGUGUAUACUCGUGGGGAGUUGCAGUGUUGUUUGUUAAGAAAAAAAUAAUAUGAAAGUAUGAGGUUAUGUAUUGAAUUCAGGGAAUUGAAUAAGGUGACAAUAAAGAAUAAGUACCCUUUACCAAGGAUUGAUGAUUUGUUUGAUCAAUUGAAGGAAGCAGCUUAUUUUUCUAAGAUUGAUUUAAGAUCUGGAUAUCAUCAACUUAAGAUUAAACCUGAAGAUAUGCCUAAGACAGCUUUUAGAACGAGAUAUGGACAUUAUGAGUUCUUAGUAAUGCCUUUAGGAUUGAUCAAUGCACAUGUAGCAUUCAUGGAUCUUAUGGAUAGAGUAUUCAAGAAAUAUUUGGAUAAAUUUGUGAGUGUUUUUCUUGACGACAUUCUGAUUUACUCUAAGACGCGAAAAGUGCAUGCAGAGCAUCUAGGAACCACAUUGAAAAUUUUGAGGAAGGAAAGGUUGUGUGUGAAAGUUUUAAAAUGUGAGUUUUGGUUGGAGCAAUACAAUUUCUUGGACAUGUAGUUUUAAAGGAGGGUAUAUCAGUAUACCAUGUGAAUAUUGAAGCAGUAUCAAAUUGAGAAAGGCCUAGGAUUCUGACUGAAGUUAGAAGUUUUCUUGGAUUGGCUGGCUAUUAUUGAAGAUUUCUACAAGAUUUUGCAAAGAUUGCAACUCCAUUAACAUGAUUGAUCAGAAAGGAAGAAAAGUUCGAAUGGACGCCAAAUUGCCAGGAUAUCUUUCGAGAACUUAAGAAAAGACUUACAACGACUCAUGUAUUGGUGUUACCUGAUGAAAGUAGAAACUUCGUGAUUAUAGUGAUGCGUCUCACAGAGGCUUAUGAUGCGUAUUGAUGCAGCACGAGAAAGUAAUUGCUUACGCCUCUAGCCAACUAAAAGACUAUGAGCUCAGGUAUCCUACCCAUGAUUUAGAAUUAGCAUUGAUUGUAUUCGCAUUAAAGACUUGGAAAUAUUGUUUUCGUAGGCGAUAAGUGUGAGAUAUAACUUAUCAUAAGAGUUUGAAGUAUCCGUUUACAAAAAAAAAAAAAAAAAAUAAAAUAAAAUUGAAUAUGAUGCAGUGAAGAUGGUUAGAAUUGAUCAAAUAUUACGAUGUACAAUUAGUUAUCGUCCUGGCAAAGGAAAUAUAGUGACUCAUGCGCUAAGUCGAAAAGAAAGAUUAAAUAUGCUAACCUUGCCUUUCGAAUUGUGGAAGGAAACAGAAAGUCUAGAGUUGGAAAUAAAAGAUUUGAGUUUAGAAAGGGAAAGACUUUACGAUAUGUUGUUACAACCUAAAUUACUAAGAAAAGAUAAAGAGAUAUCAAAAGAAAGUGAUAGAGAAGCAAAUGAAAGAAUUGACAUAAGAAAAGAUACUUAUGUCUAGAGGACGAGAAAGGGAUUCAGAGAUCUGCUAAUAGAAUUUGGAUUCCUAGAGUAUUGGAGUUGAAAGGGGAGAUUCUGAGUGAAGCAUAUGAUUUAAAAUAUUAUGUACCCCGGGAAGUAUGAAAAUGUAUCAAGAUCUUAAGAAACACAAGUGGUGACCAAACAUGAAUAGAGAGAUUGCAGAUUGAGUAAGAGUUUGACUUGUCAAAGGAUGAAAAAGAGCACCAAAGAUCAAGCGGAUUACUAUACUCUUUAGAGAUUUUGGAUUGAAAGUACGAAUGUAAUAUAAUGGAUUUUAUUGUAAGAUUACCACAAACUCGAACAAACCAUGACGCUAUUGGGUUAUCAUAUAUAUAUAUAUAUAUAUAUAUAUAUAUACUCAUCAAAUCGGCUCAUUUCUUGCCCAUUUGUAAAAUGUAUACAAUUGAGAAAUUAGUGAGUAUGUACCAGAAAGAGAUUGUGAAUGGAGUCUCAGUGCCAAUAUUAUCAGAUAUAGAUGUAAGAUUCACUUCGAGAUUUUAUUGAACUUUUCAAGAAUUAUCUGAAGAUUAAAUUGAAUCUAAGUACUGCUUAUUUUGCACAAACUGAGAAAUAUAGUGAAAGAACUAUUAGAACAAUUGAAAGGAUGUUAAAAUUUUGUGUGUUAGAUGUAAAAGGAAAGUUAGAAUUGUUUGUCAGUUACCUUUAUCAUCACAUUUUGAAUUACAAGCCAAUAAAUGUUUAUCUUUAUAUAUAGUACUUUUAUGAACCAAGAUCGUUUAUCUUCGGUGAUAAAAGUUAAACACGCAUUUUACGGUUUUCAAAAAUGUACUCUCAUAAAUUAUUUUAUUUUUUCUUCCGAAUAAAAAUUUAGUGUUUGAAUUUUUAUACGCAAAAAGAAAAUCUCAUAAAUCAUCGAAGAUUAAGUUUUCCUCUCUAUUUAUUUAUCUUUAUCUUGAAAAUUAUAAUAAGAUAAAGUUAUUAAAAAUUAUGAGGAUAAAUUUAAGAGUGAUCUUAGGCUGAACUAGGUGAUUGAAACUUUAAUAGUGAAAUAUGAUGCAUCGUAUCAUUCAAUUAGAUUUUAUUAUAUCAUGGAGAGCAUAAAUUAUUUGAAGUUAUUGAUUCCAUACUGAUGAUUUGAUGAGUUUAUAGAAUUCUAAUUACGAUUUUUCAUGAUUUUAAUAUUAUAUCACCUCAUUUUAUGUUAUUAUUACUAUAUACAAAAAUAUAAACAUACAUCAUAUCAUCAAAAAAUUAUAUACUAUCACUAUGUAUUAAUGAUGCUACAAAAAAUUAUCACAAUGCUAAUAAUCAUAUCCGAACUUAAGUUAGUGACUAAAAACAAAUCCAAACCUAAUAUCAGUAACUAAAAAGAAAAAAAAAUUAGUUGAGUGGCAAGUUUCUAAAAACAUAAUAAGUUCGGUGACAAAAAAAUCUAUUUUCCCUUCUCUAAUUAUACUCCCACGUCUCAAUUUAUCUCAUAUUUGACUUUCGAUGAUCAAAAUGAUCAAAUUUUGGUUGGGAAUUAAUAAUUAUCUAACAUGAUCUUGAAAAUCGACUUUUAUAGUUUAAAUAAUCAAAUUUUGGCCAGUAAUUAAUAAUUAUCUUAUAUGAUCUUAAAAAUCGAAAAAAUAUUUUUUUUUGCAAUGCAAGCCUUAUAAAUUAGUAUUUGUUCUAAUAAUUCUCGGGAUGUAGAUUUUAUUAACAUAUUUUUUCAUAAUUUUGUCUAGUUGUUUUACAUAUGUAAAUUUCAAUCAAAAUUUGGUCAAUUUGACCAUAAAAAAUCAAAAAAAACAAGUAAAUUGGUGUAACGACCGCGAAAAACUCAAGUACGUAUAGUUAUUAGUCGAUAAAUAAUGUCUUUAGUAAAUUGCGCGAAACUCUAUUCUUUAUUAAUUAUAGCCAAGUACAAGUAGCUAUUAUAUAAAUUAUUAAACUAUUAAUAUUAUUAUUAGAAGAGGAGAUAGAGCAGCUCGUAAAUACCUUAUUAACACGCGGUCACGACAAUAAGAAUUUCGCUUGAGAAUUAUUUUCUAUUAUUAUUUUUAUUACGAGGUAUUCACCAAGGAAUAGAGUGAGUGUCGAUUUUUCUAUAAAAAGACUAAGUCUAUAAAGUGUAAAAAGGAGUAGGACUAGCAAUUAAACAAAAGAGUAGUCCUUGAAAAUAAAUUAUAUAAACUUAUCCUUAUAAAAACCCAAUACAUUGGUUAUUAAAUCAUUUAUCAACAAGAUAGAGAGAGAAAGCUAGAAAGAAAGAGGAAAGUAGAAAGAAAGGUGAAGAAGGAAGGGAUGCAGAAAUCAGUUACAGAGGACAUCAAGGGGAAAUAUUGUUGAUUAAGAAUAUUUUACUAUCUGGAAAGACGAGCUCAAUCUGAGACAAGAAUAGUUUAUAUAAAUAUCAAAGGACGCCAGUAAAGACAGAAGAAUGCACGAUUGAGAGGAACAAUCCCGAAGCGCACAAUAGCACGAACAAGGACAAGGCGUGAGGCUGUGGCAAGACGAAGGCUAGGAAGACUUGUUCCCGUGACGAGGAUAAGUGUAUUAUCGACUUUGGACUUGUGGGGCAGGGUAUGCAUUGUAAAAUAGGUAUGCUGAAGGGGUGUGACGACUUGGAUCCGAGGGAUGCGGAUCUGGGGGCGUUACAAUUGGGACCGACGAAGUAUUAAUAAAAAUUAUUUUAUCCGUGCUAUUCAUUUUCAGAGAGAUUAAAAGAUACGUGUGUUUUGAAAAAUGUAGAAAAUAAUUUUAUGAUUUAUUUUU